UGAUGAUGAUGAUGGUAAUGAUGUUGAUGAUGAAGAUGGUGAUGAUAAUGAUGAUGAUGAUCAUCAUCAUCAUCAUCAUCACCAUUGUCAUUAUCA
rnacentral:pre_miRNA from 1 species